UGGUGGAGUGAUUUGUCUGGUUAAUUCCGUUAACGAACGAGACCUCAGCCUGCUAACUAGUCACAUGAAUACUCACGUAUUCAUGGCUGUACUUCUUAGAGGGACUACCAGGGUCGCACCUGGUGGAAGUUUGAGGCAAUAACA
rnacentral:rRNA from 1 species